rnacentral:rRNA from 1 species
AUUGAACGCUGGCGGCAGGCCUAACACAUGCAAGUCGAGCGGAUGAUGGGAGCUUGCUCCUGGAUUCAGCGGCGGACGGGUGAGUAAUGCCUAGGAAUCUGCCUGGUAGUGGGGGACAACGUUUCGAAAGGAACGCUAAUACCGCAUACGUCCUACGAGAGAAAGCAGGGGACCUUCGGGCCUUGCGCUAUCAGAUGAGCCCAGGUCGGAUUAGCUAGUAGGUGAGGUAAAGGCUCACCUAGGCGACGAUCCGUAACUGGUCUGAGAGGAUGAUCAGUCACACUGGAACUGAGACACGGUCCAGACUCCUACGGGAGGCAGCAGUGGGGAAUAUUGGACAAUGGGCGAAAGCCCGAUCCAGCCAUGCCGCGUGUGUGAAGAAGGUCUUCGGAUUGUAAAGCACUUUAAGUUGGGAGGAAGGGCAGUAAGUUAAUACCUUGCUGUUUUGACGUUACCGACAGAAUAAGCACCGGCUAACUUCGUGCCAGCCGCCGCGGUAACAC